UACAGAGGAUGCAAGCGUUAUCCGGAAUGAUUGGGCGUAAAGCGUCUGUAGGUGGCUUUUUAAGUCCGCCGUCAAAUCCCAGGGCUCAACUCUGGACAGGCGGUGGAAACUACCAAGCUGGAGUACGGUAGGGGCAGAGGGAAUUUCCGGUGGAGCGGUGAAAUGCGUAGAUAUCGGAAGGAACACCAGUGGCGAAAGCGGCUUCCUGGUCCGACACCGACGUUCAGGCACGAAAGCGUGGGGAGCAAACAGG
rnacentral:rRNA from 1 species